UACGUAGGGUCCGAGCGUUGUCCGGAAUUACUGGGCGUAAAGGGCUCGUAGGCGGCCAACUAAGUCGGAUGUGAAAUCCCCAGGCUUAACCUGGGAACUGCAUCCGAUACUGGAUGGCUUGAAUCCGGGAGAGGGAUGCGGAAUUCCAGGUGUAGCGGUGAAAUGCGUAGAUAUCUGGAGGAACACCGGUGGCGAAGGCGGCAUCCUGGACCGGCAUUGACGCUGAGGAGCGAAAGCCAGGGGAGCAAACGGG
rnacentral:rRNA from 1 species